UACGUAGGGUGCAAGCGUUAAUCGGAAUUACUGGGCGUAAAGCGUGCGCAGGCGGUUUUGUAAGUCUGACGUGAAAUCCCCGGGCUCAACCUGGGAAUUGCGUUGGAGACUGCAAGGCUAGAAUCUGGCAGAGGGGGGUAGAAUUCCACGUGUAGCAGUGAAAUGCGUAGAGAUGUGGAGGAACACCGAUGGCAAAGGCAG
rnacentral:rRNA from 1 species